AUUCUUUAAAUUCACAUUAAGAGAAGAAAAACAAAAUACGAAAGAUCAAAAGUUUUUUGCAUUGAUAGCUAUUAAAUUUUGCCGCAUUAUUCCAUUUUUUGCUGAUUGACUAAUUUUAUUUUUUUCAUAUUUUACUUUUCCUUUUUUGUUGUGAGUGUAACUGUACUCGACGUACUCGUGCAAGUUUUCUCAGCGCUUGUUUUUCCUGUUCGAAUUCACAUGUUGCAUGACAAUUCGGAUGUUUGCGGCUUGGUUCCUGUUAUAGUUUCAGAAUAGUGUCACAAGAAUUACAAAUAUUCAUGAAAGAAAAGAAGAUAAAGGGAACCUGUUUAGGUAGUUGUACUUCUCAUAAUUGUCAAAGGUCAAACUUGACAAAUAUAAAUUAUGCAUAAAUGUCAAAUGAACUAUAUUAUGCAUAACAUCGUAAUAUGAACACCUGUGCCUUGGGCUCUAUCCAAACUCAAAUUCUAACCAGUAAUUAUAGAUAAGAAUAUUAUUAAUUGCAAGAAAGAAACAUAAUGACAUCAAAAACAAUAUGUAUUGCUCAAGAAGGUCCAGCGAAUGCUUUAGCUCUUAAUAAAGAUAACAGUCAGGUUGUGAUAGCUGGCCGCAAUGUUUUCAAAAUAUUCACAUUGCUGGAAGAUAGAUUUGAAGAAGCUUGUAAUCUUCGUGUUGGCAAGAAUUUGAACCUGAAUUUUUCUUGCAAUGAUGUUGCCUGGAAUCUUAAUGAUGACCAUAUACUCGCGACUGCAGCAACGAAUGGUGCAGUGGUAUUAUGGAAUUUGAAUAGACAAUCUCGAUCAAAACAGGAUCAUGUAUUCGUGGAUCAUAAACGAACCGUGAAUAAAGUAAGCUUUCAUAUGACAGAACCCAUGUGGUUAAUAUCUGGUUCACAGGAUGGUACUAUGAAAUGUUUUGAUUUACGAAUAAAAGAAGCCAUCAAGACUUUUUAUAGUAAUACAGAAUCUGUUAGAGAUGUUCAAUUUUGUCCACAACAACCUCAUACUUUCGCUGCUGUGUCUGAAAAUGGCCAUGUACAGCAAUGGGAUAUGAGAAAAUCAGAUCGUUAUUUUCAACAUUUUACCGCACAUAGUGGCCCGAUAUUUGCUUGUGAUUGGCAUCCAGAAGCUACUUGGCUCGCUACGGCAUCUAGAGACAAAACUAUUAAAGUUUGGGAUUUAUCAUCUAAACCAAGUUGUGAUUAUACCAUACAUACUAUAGCAUCAGUGGGACGCAUAAAAUGGAGACCUCAGAAAAAAUAUCACAUAGCCAGCUGUGCUCUAGUUGUUGAUUGUAGCAUAAAUGUAUGGGAUAUUCGUAGGCCGUAUAUUCCAUUUGCGAGUUUCAAUGAGCAUAAAGAUGUUCCCACUGGUGUGGCAUGGAGAGGGAACCCACAAUCAUUUCUUUCAACAAGCAGAGAUUGUACUUUGUACCAUCACGUUUUUGACGAUGCAGUAAGACCAGCUAGUAAAGCAAAUCCGCAGAGUGUUGCGAUAAAUCUAAAACAUGACAUUACAUGCGCUUCUAAAGUGAAAUAUGAACCAGCAAGUAUUACGAGACAAUUAAGUAACAUAAUGAGGAGGACACCUGUAACAAAUGAUGAUGCUUUCUGUAUGGCUUCAAGUGUAAUGCACAGAUUUCGCGGAUGUAUACGUCAACCGAGAUGGUUUAAAAUAGCUGCAGAAAAUUAUUUACUUUCCGGAAAUUUUAGUGAAGCUUGCGAUCAUAAUGCGCGUAUUGCGUCUGAUUUUGGCAAUCAUGUUACUAGCAAAGCAUGGCAAAUCUUAAAAGUCAUGUAUACGGAUCCGUUUGAGAUACUUCAAAAAAGUGCACCCACGGCACCUAAAGAAGAGAUAGUCAAUACAUCAAAUAUAAUAAUACAAGGAGGAACAAAAAAUUCUGGAAUGGAACAAUCAAAUGCGAGUAAGCAAUCAAGUCACGAACAGGAUGCGAAAUCUCUUCAGGGAGAAAAUCCUACUGGCGCUGCCAGUGGCGGCGACGACGAGACUGAAACAGAAACCGAAGCGCCGGAGAAUCAAAAUAUUUCGGGACCAUCAACUAAUACGGCUACUGUUCUGCCGAGGAGACCAUUGCUUAGUGAUAUUCCUUCGACAUCACGAGGCGAUUUUAUUUUUGGAGAAACUGAGUAUGAACCUAUGUCUUUAGAACAUCCCAAUGAAAGUAGACAAACAGUAAUGCGAAUGGAGGAUGAUGAAUGGACCAAGGAAUUGCAAAAGGAGGCUUUUCCUUUGCGGCAUGAGAUUAAGGAUCGAUCGCCACCUCCAGAACAAUUUCCCAAUCAUCCUCCUGAUCUCGGCGAAAAUCCAGCUUCUGUUAUAGUUGAAGAUCAACCUCAGUUAGUAGUGCCGGUACUACCUAAGCCAUUGCCCUUUAAUUUUACAUCUCUAGUCUUGGAGGGGCUGCAUUUUCAUACAGUAAUGAGAGAUGUACAGACGACAGUGUCGAUGCUUAUAGUCCUGGGAGAAAUAAGGAAAACGUUGAAUAUACCAAUAGCUUUACAAGAACAUUGGAUCUUAGAAUAUUUAGAUAUGCUUGGUAAAUUUAAGCUUUGGCAUGUAGCUACACAGAUAAUACAAUUAGCAUGGAUUCCUUCUAUAUCACAAUUGAAUCAACAAUCAACUACAAUACAUGCAUGUUGCGUAGCAUGUACAAAAUCGUUGCAACGAUCUGCAUGGUUGUGCGAUCAUUGUCAUACUCCCGAACAUGCUUUAUGUUCUGUUUGUAAUCAGGUUGUACGUGGUAUUUACGUAUGGUGUCAAGGCUGUGCACAUGGAGGCCAUAUAAACCAUAUGAGAGAAUGGUUUAAUAAUAAUCGACAAUGUCCUACUGGUUGUGGACAUCUUUGCGAAUAUAAUUGACAAGAUACACUGACUUUGGCAAUGAAAUGGAUAUUUUUAAAUAAAAUGUAAUAUAAGAAUAUUAUAACACAAAUGCAAUGUAGAGCGAAUGAAACUGAGCAGAAAAGUCCUGUAUCAUUUUACGAUUUUCGCAGUGACUUAUUAAUUAUUAAAAAUCAUCGAGUGAGCGCGUAUCCGCCCGGCCCGCCGACAAAUUCCAAACAUAGCGAAAUGUUUG
rnacentral:misc_RNA from 1 species